rnacentral:rRNA from 1 species
UACGAAGGGGGCUAGCGUUGCUCGGAAUCACUGGGCGUAAAGGGUGCGUAGGCGGGUCUUUAAGUCAGGGGUGAAAUCCUGGAGCUCAACUCCAGAACUGCCUUUGAUACUGAGGAUCUUGAGUUCGGGAGAGGUGAGUGGAACUGCGAGUGUAGAGGUGAAAUUCGUAGAUAUUCGCAAGAACACCAGUGGCGAAGGCGGCUCGACUGGCC